rnacentral:rRNA from 1 species
CCUACGGGAGGCAGCAGUGAGGAAUAUUGGUCAAUGGGAGAGAUUCUGAACCAGCCAAGUCGCGUGAGGGAUGACGGCCCUAUGGGUUGUAAACCUCUUUUGUCGGAGAACAAAACGCGGGACGUGUCCCGUACUGCGUGUACCCGAAGAAAAAGCAUCGGCUAACUCCGUGCCAGCAGCCGCGGUAAUACGGAGGAUGCGAGCGUUAUCCGGAUUUAUUGGGUUUAAAGGGUGCGUAGGCGGCCCGUUAAGUCAGCGGUAAAAUUGCGGGGCUCAACCCCGUCGAGCCGUUGAAACUGGGAGACUUGAGUGGGCGAGAAGUACGCGGAAUGCGCGGUGUAGCGGUGAAAUGCAUAGAUAUCACGCAGAACUCCGAUUGCGAAGGCAGCGUACCGGCGCCAGACUGACGCUGAGGCACGAAAGUGUGGGGAUCGAACAGGAUUAGAUACCCGAGUAGUC